GUCGAGCGGACGGAUGGGAGCUUGCUCCCUGAAGUCAGCGGCGGACGGGUGAGUAACACGUGGGCAACCUGCCUGUAAGACUGGGAUAACUUCGGGAAACCGGAGCUAAUACCGGAUAAUGCACAGCCUCUCAUGAGGCUAUGCUGAAAGAUGGUUUCGGCUAUCACUUACAGAUGGGCCCGCGGCGCAUUAGCUAGUUGGUGAGGUAACGGCUCACCAAGGCAACGAUGCGUAGCCGACCUGAGAGGGUGAUCGGCCACACUGGGACUGAGACACGGCCCAGACUCCUACGGGAGGCAGCAGUAGGGAAUCUUCCGCAAUGGACGAAAGUCUGACGGAGCAACGCCGCGUGAGUGAUGAAGGUUUUCGGAUCGUAAAACUCUGUUGUCAGGGAAGAACAAGUGCCGGAGUAACUGCCGGCACCUUGACGGUACCUGACCAGAAAGCCACGGCUAACUACGUGCCAGCAGCCGCGGUAAUACGUAGGUGGCAAGCGUUGUCCGGAAUUAUUGGGCGUAAAGCGCGCGCAGGCGGUCUCUUAAGUCUGAUGUGAAAGCCCACGGCUCAACCGUGGAGGGUCAUUGGAAACUGGGGGACUUGAGUGCAGAAGAGGAAAGUGGAAUUCCACGUGUAGCGGUGAAAUGCGUAGAGAUGUGGAGGAACACCAGUGGCGAAGGCGACUUUCUGGUCUGUAACUGACGCUGAGGCGCGAAA
rnacentral:rRNA from 1 species